UAAAAAAUGACACAUGGGGGAUUUGACUAGCAUGGCAACGCCAUAAUGGGCGAUUCAUCGCCAAAUCGAUUAGCCACCCCUCCACUGUCUAGGAUCAAUUUGAUGCCGUGACAACUAUGCUCACCAAAUCUGAUGCAAAAGUCACCUGCCUCUUUCUAGACUUGCACUUGGUCAACGCCUGAACCUGCAGUCUCCAUCCUCCACCUGUGCCUCUUGUUUGAGUUCUAACAGUGACUCCACCAGUGUCAACACUCCCUGCAUAUCUGUACAAAUUACCCAUCAUCUGUCCCUGCAUCAUAAGCAUGAACUCUUUUGAAACAUUGAGAAUUCCACCUUUAGAUCAGCAUCUAAAACCUCUUGAAUCCAGAGUUCCUAGUGAAAUCAGAUUCUUCCUUAGAUCCAACACAUGCCUCACCCUUGUCAAAGUUCGCAAAACCCUAUCAAACAUGUGAAUCUAUAUGGUCCCAAUUCCAGCAACCUUGCUUUUCACAUUGUUUUCAUUUUAAUAGUACCAUUAUCACAUAUAUGACAUAUAGCAAACUGAUCAAACACAGAGAACAACCAGAAUCUAAAAUCCAAUUUGAAGUAUCCAUACUUGAUGAAUUAGUGAGAAUAAUAUUUCCAUCACCACUCUAGGACUCUUCCACGGUAAUAACAUUUGAUGAUUUAUUUCCAUUUUCCUUCUCCCUUAUAUCCUUCUUAAGCUUCAAAAAAUUCUUCUUUAUAUGACCUUCCUCCUCGCAAUAAUAACAAGUUAUUUUGUGACCCUUAGACUUGGAACCCCUUGUACUUGCUAGAUUCCUCAUAUCUCUCAUUUGAUUUGCCUUUUCACUGAGCACCACCUACAACCAAAGCACUACCCGCCUCUAACGCCUCAUCACCGCUAUUUUUCCGUCAGGUAUUAUUCAUCAUCAAAGUAGCAAUAACCUCGUCAAGUUUGAAAUUAUCCUUACUAAAUAGUAGCUCAGUCACAAUGUGAUCAAAUGAGGGAGGUAGUGACGCCAACAUGAGAAGUGCCUUGUCCUUUUCGAUCUUCACAUCAAGAGCGACAAUUCCAUCAAUAUCCUGUUGAACUCAUCCAAGUGCACUUGAAUCUUUGCUCUGUCUGACAACCGAAGGCCAUAUAUCCGUUUCUUAAAAAACAGCCGAUUCUUCAAUGACCUGAACUUGUGCCUGCUCCCCAGCUUUGUCCAGACUUCCUUUGGAUCCACUAACCCGAUGACUUCAUGAAGAAUGUUAUUCUCCAGAUACAGCUAGAGCAUACUAUUUUCUAAAUCCCUCAACUCUUGCCACUCAUCCUCCUUCAUCUUUUCCGGUUUUUUCGAUUUUUUCCUGAGAGCUUUGACUGUCAUUAUGGCCACAAGUUGAAGUCAUUAUGGCCAUUAAAGUGUUCAAUGGAGAAGCUUGAACCCUUCGCCUUCACCACCAUUCGGUUUACCUGAUCUGUGCCCUUGUGGCCACCAUCAACUUCGAAGUACCUAAUUACUGCAUCAUUCCAGCUUCCUACUGCCAACAAUCCCAACUACGCCAUCUCACUGACACUGCCACUACUUUAUUUUCUGCUGCCUAUGCAUGACUCAUCUGUCAACCCCAGACUCAACCAUGCAAGUCCAUGCCCUUUUAGUUCACAUGCCACACCAUCAAUAUGCUUGUCAGCCUCUGUGCUCUGCUCUUCCGCACAUGUCAUCUUCCAAUGGCCUUUCACAGAAACACUAGAACCAUUGUGUGAGUGUGUUGACUAUUUGACUGUGUUGACAGUAAUGACAACAUCAACAGCCGAAGCUCCAACACCAUUUUUAAGAAUUUUACCGUUUUCUGGGAACAAACCUAGGCCACAGGUGUAGUGUUUUCAAACUUUAUCUGGAUUCUCACUGGUUUUACUCUGAAGUCUUGUCUUUACUUGCUGUUUAUGAACUAUGUUAAGAGUGCUGGUCAAGAUCUUGAUUGGCCUUUUGAUUCUUGAAUUCAACUUUAGAAACUAUUAGUUAGCAUAUAUUGAUUGGGUGUUCUGUUGCUGUAAUGUUGUGGCUUUAGUGGGCUGUUAAUUUAUUCAUGAAUGUAGCUUUAAUGGGUUGUUAAAUUAUUCAUACUUGCUGAAAAAAUUCUGUAUUUGUUUUGCAAAUUGGAAAGUGAAUGUGUUGUGUAUUUUAUAGCGGUUUUCUACUGAAUAUUUAUACAUAAAAAGAAUACUAGGGCGCCUUGUCCCCUCAGCACUUAUGCUGCCCUCUAAAACCUUGGAUCGCGUAGGUACCUUAACAACUAUGAUGUAUACGUAAGGUUUUUUGCAGUCUAGCUCACGGUUUUACUGGUGGAUGAGAUUGGCUUUUGCCCUCUAAAUUCUGUGAGAUUAAGAAUGGCUAUUGUGUGAUGUAAUAACCCUUGGUGAGUUGCCAAGGCUGGCUGCUGGGAUUCCUACUUAGUUCCAGGUGUGAAGCUUGGUCAAUAUCCUUCUAUCCUUCUUCCUCUUCAUUAUAAUCCAGAAAAUCAGGUUGGCAAAAAAAGGAUUCUUUCUCAGUUUUACGUAUCCAAUCUUGAUUGAAUCUGAGUUGUAUCCAGCAAUACACCAUGGAUUUCAGAUCUGAUCACAUUCAGUAGCCAUGGUUUGAGGAAUUGGAUCGUUGAUUCCGGUCUGGUCGGAUCAGAAUCAGUUUCCAUAGAUUCUGAUUCCGAUUCCGGCCGGGGUAAUUGGAAUUGGAAUUCAUGGAGGCCCGAUUCCGUUGCUGAUUCUGCUUACUCGAACCAUGGCACUAACUGCACCUUAUGCUUCAUUGAUUCAUGGUUUCGAAAAUUCUAUUUUGCUGCUGCUUUCUUGGAAUCCCACUUCAGGUUCGAUUCUCAGUUUCUUCUUAGUUGAGGAUCAUAUUUUAUUUUCUGUUUCAGAUUAGAAUCUUAAAACUAUUUCUGGAAUUUGUUACUGUUUUGAUCAUCUUUUGUUGCUUGAUUGGGUUCCAUUACUAUCUGCUAUCGGUAUUCUGUUCUGAAACCCUAAUCAAGAAUCCUAUUUUCAAAAAAAUACUUCCAAAGAACCAGACAGAAUCAUAUUUUGAGGAGUUCUCCAUAUCCUAGGCCUUCGACCUGAAUUUCACUUGAGUUUCUGAUUUAGGUUGAUAUAAAUCCCCUGAAAUCUGGUUCUGCUGCUUAACUGUUAUUCUGUUUAUUUUGUGGACAGUUGAAACCUAUCACUUAAGGCUUCUAGGAACCCAUCACCUCCCUACGUAAUGAGGCUUUUCACCAAUCUAUGUGCUGACAUAGUAUUUAGUGACUGUAUUCAAGUUCCCUACCUUAAAUAUUUCUAAGUCCUUGGCAAAAGGACCAAAUCAAGUCUUUCUAGCUGAUCUGUAAUUUUAUCUCAGUUAAGUAUCCAUUUAGUUUUUUCGAGGGGAAUUUAAUUAGUAGGUAAGGGAGAAAGAAGAGAACUCAGCCCAAACUUACAGAAGUCACAAGCAGGUACAAGCCUAUAACAGAACCUCACUGAAUCAUAAAACAGGAGCUUAGAUUUAUAACAUGGUGAACAGCAACUGAAAAAAAAAAAGAAGAAGAAGAAGAAGAAAAAAAAAGAAAAGCCUUGAGCCUUCGAAAGAUACAUAACAUCCCCCAUGAAACUGAGAAUACCAGUUACUCUAAUCAAUAAAGCAUAAGGAGCAUAUGCCCUCUCUUGUUCUGACCCACAAACACCUGCCUGUUAAUGCAUGUUUUUCAUUGAAGAUUAUCAGCAAAAUUGUAUUUAAUCUUGAGCUGCACACAAUGAGAAAAAAUUUCCGAACAAACAUUGUCCACAACUGUUGCCUUUUGAAUCUGAGUUUGGUCAAUAGAUAGUCAAAGCCACCCAAUUGAAUACAUUAGUAAUGGUUUAAACUUCACUGAAAUCCCCAGUCCACCUUCCAAAUUGAAGAUAUCAAAGCUUCAAACCAUACCUGUGCCUCCCACAGCUCCUAUUGAAGAUUUAAAUAUGAAAUCAACUUUACUGGCAUCCCAGAUUCUAACAAGUGAUUACCAUUUACCAUGAAAUAAAUUUGCAUCUUUGUUCUUUGAAAUUUGAAUGAAACCGGCUGUUCUUUGAAGGAUUUUCUCUUUUUAUCAGCUCCCAUUGCCCUUAUGCACCAUGGCAGAUCUUUCAAUUUUUACUUUCAAACAUUUGACAUCCCUCGUCUCCUGACACUGAUAAUGUGUCCACUCUUUUCUUAUUUACAUAUUAUAUUGACUAUUGGAGUCAUUUGUUGUGAUUGCUCUAGGAUUUCUUACAGGAUCUCGAUUAACUUAAGCAGUCCUUGUAUGAUUCGAUUUCUUUGUAUCUUGAUUACCAUUUCUUUAAUCAUUGCAUCUGUCUCUGCUUCCAACUCCUACAGAGGAUACUCCUAUCAUCUCACCUGUUGCUUCAGCAUUGUCCAUUACCCAUUGACUAAAAUCUCGAGAAGGCUCUUGUGCUAAUGCUUGAUUGUAAAUGACCCAAUCGAGAGAACAGCUGAUUAAGCUUUUCUGCGGAUCUCUGUUCUGUUGAAACAAAGGGUGUCCCUGGCGCAAUUUCGGAAAACUGAUUAUUGGUAGGGUCAAUCUCUGUAUUCUUAGACUCCUCAAUAGGUUGAUUUUUAUUUGACAACAAUUUCAUGUUUCCAUUACGUCUCUUGUUCCCAUUGCUGAGUCAUGGAUUCUACUGAUUUCUGUCCAAUUCUAUCAGUAAACCUCUCAGGUUCAAAGAUCCGAAGAUACAGCCUUAAAAGCGUCCUCCAUAUUUGUGACCAACCAUAGCUAGGGUUUAUGUGGGCCAUUGCUGAGUUGGAAAACAGAUGCCGGGGAUGCCUGGCUUGGUUUCUCACUAUGAUAUUCUCAGAUACUCAAAACCAGAGGAAAGCUACUACACUUCUAAUUUCCUAGGCUACUGUGCACAUUUGUUUUCUGUUUUCAGUUUCUGCAUCUCAACCUCCUUUGCAGGAUCAAAGGUGACAAUCAGGUAUGGAACCUCAAGCCAUUUUGGAGUGAGUUGCUAACUGUCGGGAAGUGGUUGUGGAAAUUUUUAUCAUAAUAUCAUGCUAAUCCAAAAUAGGAUUGUAAUCCUUUCAUUUGUUGGCAUACCCUCCUGUGUAUGUCCAUUUACCCAUGUGGUCCAUGAUUUUUUCAAUUCCUUGUUUUGCUUGAGAGGUGAACCUUAGAGUCCACCUAUACACAAAAUUUCAGCCCUGCCUGAACUACCAUGGGGCGGUUAUUGGAGGGCAUGCCGAGCCCCUGCUCACUAUAAUUUGCUGGAGGGCAUGCUGUUCUACUUUUGGCGUGGCAGACUUAACUGAAUCUUAUUGUAUUAAAUUGGAUAUUUGGUUUAAUCAUCAUGAAGAAACUUCCAUGGUCAGUUGUGGGUUUUCUGCUCCACCUUGUAGCACCUAUUGGCUUCUUGAUUCUCUUGGCAUGCCAGCUAUAACCCAUGAGCAUGGGCUUCCCAUACUAACUCUAUGAGAACCCAUACUUGCUUGUACAUCAUGAACCAACCUUCUGGAGGAAAAAUACUCUCAGGAGGUCUCAUGUACUAGCGACGAUUUACUCCAGAUGUUACAUUAUGAGAAGCUGUGGUAUGUAAGGAAGAGAGGCCCGACGCAGAAAGAGCGAGGAAUUUUCGAGGAGUCUGGGAGACCUUGCUUGCUGGGAAGCGUCAGCCCCGCAGCCCACAAUCAUCAGGCAAUCUACACCAGAUUUAAUUUUGUCAUCUUGGCUUCCUUCAGACUAGAUUUCUUUAGUUUCCACCUGUCUGAUGUAUAGUGCUCAGGUAAUAAUUUGUUAAGUCUUUGCUUAUUCAUAUUUCAUUUUUUUUCCCAAGUAGAGAUAAUGUAUUAUGAAUUAAGUUUUACUUCAUCCAUGGUGAAGAGAUGAUGUGCCGAUAUGAUCAGACUCUGGGUUUAUUAUCAACACCCACCUCAAUUGUAUGAGGUCAAAAAUACAUUUUCCCAAUCCAAUAAGAGGAUCAGAUGGUCACAUGGUUGAUAUUCUC